CCUACGGGUGGCAGCAGUGGGGAAUAUUGGACAAUGGGGGCAACCCUGAUCCAGCCAUGCCGCGUGUGUGAAGAAGGCCCUCGGGUUGUAAAGCACUUUCAGUGAGGAAGAACGCCUGGUGGUUAAUACCCAUCAGGAAAGACAUCACUCACAGAAGAAGCACCGGCUAACUCCGUGCCAGCAGCCGCGGUAAUACGGAGGGUGCGAGCGUUAAUCGGAAUUACUGGGCGUAAAGCGCGCGUAGGUGGCUUGAUAAGCCGGUUGUGAAAGCCCCGGGCUCAACCUGGGAACGGCAUCCGGAGCUGUCAAGCUAGAGUGCAGGAGAGGAAGGUAGAAUUCCCGGUGUAGCGGUGAAAUGCGUAGAGAUCGGGAGGAAUACCAGUGGCGAAGGCGGCCUUCUGGACUGACACUGACACUGAGGUGCGAAAGCGUGGGUAGCAAACAGGAUUAGAUACCCGGGUAGUC
rnacentral:rRNA from 1 species